rnacentral:tRNA from 2 species
GGGAUUGUAGCUUAGUUGGGAGAGCGCUUGCUUUGCAAGCAAGAGGUCGUGGGUUCGAAUCCCACCAGUUCCACCA